ACAGUAAAUAAGGUAAACCCUAAACAACUCACCAUCGUCUCCUUCUUCGUUGUUGUACGGCGACUUCUCAUCUUCAUCAUCUCUGAAACGCUUUUCUUCUUCGUAUUUAAUCUCUAUUAAGUCUUCAACCACGAUUUAGCCUUUGAAUGCUUACUUCGCCUUUGGAUUCGGUGUAUCUGCGAGUAUAAAUAGGAUUUCUUUAUCAGUAUAAUGGCCAAGCAGUUUGUUCCACUUACUGAUUUGAGAUGAGGACGUUGUUCUUCCACUUCCUUGCGGCUGCUCAGAUUCUGGGAAACCAGAAACUGGAGUUGACAGGAUCCUCCUAGAUGCUGGGUUAACACUCAUGCCAGUCGACGUGAAUGUCAACCUUCUUUCUCCACCGACAUGAAGAUGGACAAAGGGUGUUGUUACGUCUCUUGCUCCAGGUGGACCACGGAGCUUCAACGGACUGUAGCAGCCUUUACUUGCGUGUCAUGCAACAACGCUAAUGCUUAUUGUUGUUGGUGUCCUCCGUUUAUGGAGCAUCAUCUCCCUGGCCUUCCUGCAACCAAAGACUGGCAAUGAUAACGAUGAUAUGCUUGGAAUGAACUCAGACUCUGCUAAGGUCGACGUUGGUGGUAGUACUCUUGAGGGAGCACCGACAACCUGAGCAGAUCCAAGCGAUCGAUACACUAAGAAGCCUCCGGUUCGAGCAUCUUUGUAGAUGGCAGAGAAAGCACGCAUGGAAUAAGCGAAGAUAACAGAGCUCUGAACUCAGUAUUUCCUAUUUGAAUCAUGCUAACACAUCAAUGUUUCUUAAAUAAAGUGUUGUAUUUAUCAUGUCGUUCCAUUUAAAAUAAAAACAUGAGCUUCAAAUUCAGCAAAUACAGUCAGGGAUAAUUUGUUUCGAGCGUUGAUUUGAGUAAAUAAUAUAAUCGUAAUGAUUCUAUGAGUC